GACGAACGCUGGCGGCGUGCUUAACACAUGCAAGUCGAGCGGUAAGGCCCUUUCGGGGGUACACGAGCGGCGAACGGGUGAGUAACACGUGGGUGACCUGCCCUCAGCUCUGGGAUAAGCCUGGGAAACCGGGUCUAAUACCGGAUAUGACUCCAUGACGCAUGUUGUGGGGUGGAAAGCCUUGUGCGGCUGAGGAUGGGCCCGCGGCCUAUCAGCUUGUUGGUGGGGUGAGGCCUACCAAGGCGACGACGGGUAGCCGGCCUGAGAGGGCGACCGGCCACACUGGGACUGAGACACGGCCCAGACUCCUACGGGAGGCAGCAGUGGGGAAUCUUGCGCAAUGGGCGAAAGCCUGACGCAGCGACGCCGCGUGAGGGAUGACGGCCUGG
rnacentral:rRNA from 1 species